rnacentral:rRNA from 1 species
UACGUAGGGCGCAAGCGUUAUCCGGAAUUAUUGGGCGUAAAGAGCUCGUAGGCGGUUUGUCGCGUCUGCCGUGAAAGUCCGGGGCUCAACUCCGGAUCUGCGGUGGGUACGGGCAGACUAGAGUGAUGUAGGGGAGACUGGAAUUCCUGGUGUAGCGGUGAAAUGCGUAGAGAUCCGGAGGAACACCCGUGGCGAAGGCGGCCCCCUGGGCCGCGCCUGACGCUGAGACGCGAAAGCGCGGGGAGCGAACGGG